GCCUGGAGAUGAGCUCGCGUCUGAUUAGCUAGUUGGUGGGGUAAAAGCUUACCAAGGCAACGAUCAGUAGCUGGUCUGAGAGGAUGAUCAGCCACACUGGGACUGAGACACGGCCCAGACUCCUACGGGAGGCGGCAGUGGGGAAUUUUCCGCAAUGGGCGAAAGCCUGACGGAGCAAUACCGCGUGGGGGAGGAAGGCUCUUGGGUUGUAAACCCCUUUUCUUAGGGAAGAACACAUUGCCGGUCCUUGAGGAAUAAGCGUGGGUUAACUCCGUGCCACCACCCGGGGUAAUACGGAGGAGGCAAGCUUUUUCCGGAUUGAUGGGCCUUAAGGCGUCCGCGGGUGGCCUGGUAGUUUUGUGGUUAAAGCCUGGGGUUAACUCUGGUAUGGCGGGGGAAACUACAAACCUAGAUUCCGUUCGGGGCAAAGGAAAUUCCUGGGGUACCGGUAAAAUGCUUAAAAUCAGGAAAAACACCGGUGGCGAAGCGGCUUUGUUGGGCCGACCUGACACUGAGGGACAAAAG
rnacentral:rRNA from 1 species